UGGGGAAUCUUGGACAAUGGGGGCAACCCUGAUCCAGCCAUGCCGCGUGGGUGAAGAAGGCCUUAGGGUUGUAAAGCCCUUUCAGUCGUGACGAUGAUGACGGUAGCGACAGAAGAAGCCCCGGCUAACUCCGUGCCAGCAGCCGCGGUAAUACGGAGGGGGCAAGCGUUGUUCGGAUUUACUGGGCGUAAAGGGCGCGUAGGCGGACGGUCAAGUCAGAGGUGAAAGGCCCGGGCUCAACCUGGGAAUUGCCUUUGAAACUGAUGAGCUAGAGUCCGGAAGAGGAUAGCGGAAUUCCCAGUGUAGAGGUGAAAUUCGUAGAUAUUGGGAAGAACACCAGUGGCGAAGGCGGCUAUCUGGUCCGGUACUGACGCUGAGGCGCGAAAGCGUGGGGAGCAAACAGGAUUAGAUACCCCCGUAGUCC
rnacentral:rRNA from 1 species